rnacentral:rRNA from 1 species
UAGGGAAUCUUCGGCAAUGGGGGGAACCCUGACCGAGCAACGCCGCGUGAGUGAAGAAGGUUUUCGGAUCGUAAAGCUCUGUUGUUAAGGAAGAACGAGUGUGAGAAUGGAAAGUUCAUGCUGUUACGGUACUUAACCAGAAAGGGACGGCUAACUACGUGCCAGCAGCCGCGGUAAUACGUAGGUCCCGAGCGUUGUCCGGAUUUAUUGGGCGUAAAGCGAGCGCAGGCGGUUAGAAAAGUCUGAAGUGAAAGGCAGUGGCUCAACCAUUGUAGGCUUUGGAAACUGUUUAACUUGAGUGCAGAAGGGGAGAGUGGAAUUCCAUGUGUAGCGGUGAAAUGCGUAGAUAUAUGGGGAAAAACCGGUGGCGAAAGCGGCGCUCUGGUAUGUAACUGACGCUGAGGCUCGAAAGCGUGGGGAGCGAACAGG